CUAAAGGGGUGGGCUAAGAAUGCGAGUCGAGCGUCUCUAGCUAUGUUGAGACGCGGCAUACGGCUCAGUAACGCGUGGCUAACCUACCCUCAGGACGGAGACAACCCCGGGAAACUGGGACUAAUAUCCGAUAGGCGAGGAGGCCUGGAAUGGUUUCUCACCUAAAAGACUUUGGAAACAUGCUUUCAUUGUUGCCUGAGGAUGGGGCCGCGCCCGAUCAGGUUGUUGGUGAGGUAAUGGCUCACCAAGCCUAUAACCGGUACGGGCCGUGAGAGCGGUAGCCCGGAGAUGGGCACUGAGACAAGGGCCCAGGCCCUACGGGGCGCAGCAGUCGCGAAAACUCCGCAAUGCACGAAAGUGUGACGGGGCUACCCCGAGUGCCGUCCGCUGAGGAUGGCUUUUCCUCGGUGUAACCAGCCGGGGGAAUAAGGAGAGGGCAAGACUGGUGUCAGCCGCCGCGGUAAUACCAGCUCUCCGAGUGGUAGGGAUGAUUAUUGGGCUUAAAGCGUCCGUAGCCGGCUUAGCAAGCCUCCUGUUAAAUUCAGCGACCUAAUCGUUGAGCCGCGGGAGAUACUACUAGGCUAGGAGGCGGGAGAGGUCGACGGUACUUCCGGGGUAGGGGUGAAAUCCUAUAAUCCCGGGAGGACCACCAGUGGCGAAGGCUGUCGACUAGAACGCGCUCGACGGUGAGGGACGAAAGCUGGGGGAGCGAACCGGAUUAGAUACCCGGGUAGUCCCAGCUGUAAACGAUGCGGGCUAGGUGUUGGGGUGGCUACGAGCCACUUCAGUGCCGCAGGGAAGCCAUUAAGCCCGCCGCCUGGGAAGUACGUACGCAAGUAUGAAACUUAAAGGAAUUGGCGGGGGAGCACCACAAGGGGUGAAGCCUGCGGUUCAAUUGGAGUCAACGCCGGA
rnacentral:rRNA from 1 species